UACGGAGGGUGCGAGCGUUGUCCGGAAUCACUGGGCGUAAAGGGCGCGUAGGCGGCCUGAUAAGUAGGGGGUGAAAUCCUGCGGCUUAACCGCAGGGCUGCCUUCUAAACUGUCAGGCUAGAGCACAGUAGAGGCAGGUGGAAUUCCUGGUGUAGCGGUGAAAUGCGUAGAUAUCAGGAGGAACACCGGUGGCGAAGGCGCUCAUCUGGCCCAAUACUGACGCUGAUGCGCGAAAGCUAGGGGAGCAAACGGG
rnacentral:rRNA from 1 species